UACGUAGGGUGCGAGCGUUAAUCGGAAUUACUGGGCGUAAAGCGUGCGCAGGCGGUUCGUUGUGUCGGCGGUGAAAGCCCCCGGGCUUAACCUGGGAAUGGCCGUUGAAACUGGCGAACUGGAGUGUGGCAGAGGGGGUGGAAUUCCGCGUGUAGCAGUGAAAUGCGUAGAGAUGCGGAGGAACACCGAUGGCGAAGGCAGCCCCCUGGGCUAACACUGACGCUCAGGCACGAAAGCGUGGGGGAGCAAACAGG
rnacentral:rRNA from 1 species